ARGGCUCAGGCGACACGGGUAGCCGGCCUGAAGGGCGACCGSCACACUGGGACUGAGAGCCCAGACUCCUACGGGAGGCAGCAGUGGGGAAUAUUGCACAAUGGGCGAAAGCCUGAUGCAGCGACGCCGCGUGAGGGAUGACGGCCUUCGGGUUGUAAACCUCUUUCAGCAGGGAAGAAGCGAAAGUGACGGUACCUGCAGAAGAAGCGCCGGCUAACUACGUGCCAGCAGCCGCGGUAAUACGUAGGGCGCGAGCGUUGUCCGGAAUUAUUGGGCGUAAAGAGCUCGUAGGCGGCUUGUCGCGUCGGUUGUGAAAGCCCGGGGCUUAACCCCGGGUCUGCAGUCGAUACGGGCAGGCUAGAGUUCGGUAGGGGAGAUCGGAAUUCCUGGUGUAGCGGUGAAAUGCGCAGAUAUCAGGAGGAACACCGGUGGCGAAGGCGGAUCUCUGGGCCGAUACUGACGCUGAGGAGCGAAAGCGUGGGGAGCGAACAGGAUUAGAUACCCUGGUAGUCCACGCCGUAAACGGUGGGCACUAGGUGUGGGCGACAUUCCACGUCGUCCGUGCCGCAGCUAACGCAUUAAGUGCCCCGCCUGGGGAGUACGGCCGCAAGGCUAAAACUCAAAGGAAUUGACGGGGGCCCGCACAAGCGGCGGAGCAUGUGGCUUAAUUCGACGCAACGCGAAGAACCUUACCAAGGCUUGACAUACACCGGAAAACCCUGGAGACAGGGUCCCCCUUGUGGUCGGUGUACAGGUGGUGCAUGGCUGUCGUCAGCUCGUGUCGUGAGAUGUUGGGUUAAGUCCCGCAACGAGCGCAACCCUUGUCCCGUGUUGCCAGCAGGCCCUUGUGGUGCUGGGGACUCACGGGAGACCGCCGGGGUCAACUCGGAGGAAGGUGGGGACGACGUCAAGUCAUCAUGCCCCUUAUGUCUUGGGCUGCACACGUGCUACAAUGGGCCGGGUACAAUGAGCUGCGAUACCGCGAGGUGUAGCGAAUCUCAAAAAGCCGGUCUCAGUUCGGAUUGGGGGUCUGCAACUCGACCCCAAUGAAGUCGGAGUUCGCUUAGUU
rnacentral:rRNA from 1 species